AUCCGCAUCGAGGAGCCUUUUACAGAAGUGGCUCCAGGAGCAUCCACAUCUGCCUCUCGGGGCCCACGGGGCCCAGGCCAGCUACAGAAGCACCCUGCUUUCCAUGGGAAAAUGCUGCAAAUGGGGGAGAAAGGAGAGAAGGGUUUCAGACUGCAAAGACCCUUCGACAUCAGCUAGCACCAAGUUCCAUCAUGUAAAUAAACUGAAGGGCUUCAGACCGGGAGUGAAGCCAAGCAGGUGAUAGAAGUGUUUGUAGGAGGAUUUUUUUGACAUAAACAUGAAAUGGAGCGAGUGGUAACGCCAUCCGUCUCCUGCCCAGACCUCCCCACUGUCACUGUCCAGCCUGAAGCCGCCCUGGUGAAGCAGGUGGAGGAGCAGCUCCAGGCCCGGCUCCCCGGCCUCCCUCCCUCAGCUCCAGGGCACUCACGUGCUUGAAACAGCUGACGGGAGCAGCCUUGUAACUGUGAUCCUUCAGGAACUUCCCCCAGUCGAAGCCCAAGACCAGAGCUGCAGAGCAGAGAGGACGAGUCAGACUAGGAGCCUGCGCAGCAGCCACUCCAGGAGCCUGGACCCCAAGGGCCCUGUGGGACCUGCAGAGGUGAUCCCAACAUGCAGGCAAAUUUGGGAAGCAGUGUUGCAGAUGCUGGUCCCAGCUACUGGGAAACAAGGUAAGAUGAGGCCCCUGAGAUGAGGUUCCAGCCUCAAUUCCGCCAUUCUCCUCCUACAGAGCCACACUAGGUAUGUCAUUCUACCUCCUUGGACCUCAGUAUACUUAUCAAUAAAUGUGUGGGUUCAACACCACAUCCAAGAAUCUUUCCAUCUCUAAAGAUUCUAUAAAUAUCAGUAAUUUAGAAAAUUGGCAAGACUUUCUAGGUAGCUGCCUGUGACAUGGAGUCCGAGGAGGCAUGGUCUUCCUGAAGCCACCGUGGCUGGUGAACCUUGGGCCUGUUUCCCAACUUCCUUUGAAAGGAUUUAUAAAAGUGUGGGGUGAAGACCAAGGGUGUCAGACUCCCCCAUAGUUCUUGUUUAAAAUGUACUGAAUACACCAGACUCUGGGGGAUGAUGGUAGGUAAUGGAGCGUAGCUUCAGGAACCUAUAAUUUAAAAAGCUCCACAAAUGGAUUCUACUGUCCUCUGAAGUUUGAGAACAUAAUAAAUACCAGCUGGCCACAAGCAAGGACCUUUUCAAACUUUCCUGGCCCUGGCCUUCAGUCACUUGGUGGUUCCUGUCUCAGCACCAAAGGCACCGGGAAGGAUCCAAGUGAUUGCCUCUCACCUGUAACCUAGCCAAGAUACUGGCUUUCUUGGAGUUGGAGGAGUAGCUCCUGGAGCAGGAGACGCUGCAGAACCUCUUGGUCUUGGAGAAGAAGGCUUCCCUUGUACCCACGAUACCACACAUCUCACAGACAGCUGGGAAGAGAACUUAGCACAUGACUCACCCGAUAUGACCACCUCAAAGCAAACAAAGUGAUGGGCCCUUCAAAACCUGGGGCACUGCAUUAACCAGGUGAGCCCCUGCCCCCACAAAGGCUAAUGGAAUAAGAGGAGGAAUGGGAGGUACUGGUGUGUAUAUCCUGAAUCUACCUGAAUGAAGUGCUGCUGCUUGGCCUCCCUUGGCUACAGAUGUCAACAGAGGGGCUAAUGGAAAUCCAUGAGGACGACUGGGGGAACAGGGGACACUCUGAAGGCACCUGGCUCAGAACCACUGCCAUCCAAGGAGCGAGGAGUCCCAGGGCUGAGCAAAUGCAGCGGGGAGGUCGGCAGUUCCCCUGCUUCCCGAUCCUCAUUUUCUGCUUCACUUGACUCCUCCAGAUAGGAGCUGCUCUCACUGCCCACACUGCUGUUAUAACUCCGGAAACUAUCAUAGCCACCAAACAGCUCCAAGUCGUCAUCUUCCUCUUCCUCCAUUGGUUCUGAAGAUGGGGUCUCCUAAUGGAGGAUGACACAAACCAGGUAGAAAGAAUUAUGAUUGGCUUUAGUGCACGGGGGGAGAAGCUGCAGAUCUGCUAUCAGCCCCCUCACACUUUCGGGAACCUUUCAAAUACCCCUUUUACAAACACCAAGAUCAUUACUUCUAUUUACACAUUUCUCCACCAUGAUGCAAUUCAACAGCUUAACAAGACAGAAAAUAUGUGUUAGGAAUUCACCAGGCUCCUCUGUGGAUUUACAAAUGAUGAUAUUUUAACAUGGUUCAAAUAGAAUACUGUAUAACAAUGUGGGCCAGGUGCGGUGGCUCAUGCCUGUAAUCCUAGCACUUUGGGAGGCCGAGGCUGGCAGAUCACCUGAGGUCAGGAGUUCGAGACCAGCCUGGCCAAGAGGGUGAAACCCUGUCUCUACAAAAAAAUACAAGAAAAAAUUAGCCAGGCGUGGUGGCGGGCACCUGUAGUCCAGCUACUUGGGAGGCUGGGGCAGAGAAUUGCUUGAACCCAGGAGGCAAAGGUUGUAGUGGGCCAAGAUCGUGCCACUGCACUCCAGUCUGCGUGACAGAGCAAGACUCCAUCUC
rnacentral:lncRNA from 1 species